ACGUGAAACCGUUCGGGGGGAAACGGACAGAGCUUGUGAAUCCGGGCGACGGAAUUCAGAAUUUGCGCUCGCGCAGGUUCGAUAUUUCCGUCGCCGUUUUUCGGACGUCGCGACCCAUUUGGCGUCGGUUUGAGGAGAUGCGCGAAAGUUCGCCGGCGUUUUCGGACUUGUUCGGCGCGUCGACGAGUGCGUAUUUUUCUGACUGACUCGCCAGAUGGUAUUYGUAAUGGUGGUCGCUGCGGCCUCCUAGAGCGCCGYAGCGAUACCAGUCUGCGACGAAUCUUCGAGCCUCUUUCCGACCCGUCUUGAAACACGGACCAAGGAGUCUAACGUGUGCGCGAGUCGCGGGGUAUCGAGCAGUCGUUGUUCGCAUCGGCUGCUCGUUAUAAUACGAAACCCGUCUCGUUUUACGAAAGGCGCAAUGAAAGUGAAUUUUGGGGAAGAUGACGUUACCGAGUUCACGUUUCAUGUUCUUGUAAUAUGACCGGUCGUCCGCAUUCCCAGGGUGUCUCGAAGUGCGAUUUUAUUGCGGACCGUCGUUCCUUCGGGGGUGGCGGUCGGAUUUGAUCGAGCUGAGGCGCACCUAUAGCGUACACGUUGGUACCCGAAAGAUGGUGAACUAUGCCCGGCCAGGAUGAAGUCAGGGGAAACCCUGAUGGAGGUCCGAAGUGGUUCUGACGUGCAAAUCGAUCGUAUGAGCUGGGUAUAGGGGCGAAAGACUAAUCGAACCAUCUAGUAG
rnacentral:rRNA from 1 species